UGGUCUUAGCUUGCUAAGGCUGAUGGCGACCGGCGCACGGGUGAGUAACACGUAUCCCACUCUGCCGUCUACUCUUGGCCAGCCUUCUGAAAGGAAGAUUCAUCCAGGAUGGGAUCAUGAGUUCACAUGUCCGCAUGAUUAAAGGUAUUUUCCGGUAGACGAUGGGGAUGCGUUCCAUUAGAUAGUAGGCGGGGUAACGGCCCACCUAGUCAACGAUGGAUAGGGGUUCUGAGAGGAAGGUCCCCCACAUUGGAACUGAGACACGGUCCAAACUCCUACGGGAGGCAGCAGUGAGGAAUAUUGGUCAAUGGGCGAUGGCCUGAACCAGCCAAGUAGCGUGAAGGAUGACUGCCCUAUGGGUUGUAAACUUCUUUUAUAAAGGAAUAAAGUCGGGUAUGCAUACCCGUUUGCAUGUACUUUAUGAAUAAGGAUCGGCUAACUCCGUGCCAGCAGCCGCGGUAAUACGGAGGAUCCGAGCGUUAUCCGGAUUUAUUGGGUUUAAAGGGAGCGUAGAUGGAUGUUUAAGUCAGUUGUGAAAGUUUGCGGCUCAACCGUAAAAUUGCAGUUGAUACUGGAUGUCUUGAGUGCAGUUGAGGCAGGCGGAAUUCGUGGUGUAGCGGUGAAAUGCUUAGAUAUCACGAAGAACUCCGAUUG
rnacentral:rRNA from 1 species